UCAUCCCCUUCAUCAUCAUCAUCAUCAUCAUCAUCAUCAUCAUCAUCAUCAUCAAAGUCAUGAAGAAGAUGCAGAAGAUGAGGAAGAUGGAGA
rnacentral:miRNA from 1 species